rnacentral:rRNA from 1 species
GACGAACGCUGGCGGCGUGCCUAACACAUGCAAGUUGAGCGACGAACCAGGGCUUGCCCUGGGGCAAAGCAGCGAACGGGUGAGUAACACGUGGGUAACCUACCCCGAUAACCGGGACAACCCGAGGAAACUCGGGCUAAUACCGGAUGUGCUCACUGGACUUCGGUUCAGUGCGUAAAGGAAGCUUCGGCCUCCGUAUCGGGAGGGGCCCGCGGCCCAUUAGUUUGUUGGUGAGGUAACGGCUCACCAAGACCGCGAUGGGUAGCUGGUCUGAGAGGACGGUCAGCCACACUGGGACUGAGACACGGCCCAGACUCCUACGGGAGGCAGCAGUGGGGAAUCUUGCGCAAUGCGCGAAAGCGUGACGCAGCAACGCCGCGUGGGGGAAGAAGGCCUUCGGGUUGUAAACCCCUUUUGGGAGGGACGAAGGUGCGGCGGUGAAUAGCCGUCCGGACUGACGGUACCUCCACAAGAAGCCCCGGCUAACUACGUG